CAACCAAUACAUAACACGUGAUAAAGAACCCUUUUCUUAUUUUUCCAGAAGACAGAAGAAGAAAGAUUAUCAAGACCUAGACUUUGUUUUCUGUCUCUGUCCAAAAACCAUAAAAGGAACUUUUCCAGCAGACCAAAGAAAGAAGAAUUUUAAAGAAUCUUGAGCUUCUUGACAAUGGAGUCUUUGAAGAACAGAACAUUGCUUAAGGUCAUUGUCCUCGGAGAUAGCGGGGUAGGCAAAACUUCACUGAUGAACCAGUAUCCUCCUUAAAUCUAACCGUUCAAAGUUUUUGAGUUCUGUUAAAUAUUCGGUUUGUUUUAUGCUCAAGCUCUAAGUUAGAUCUAUGUUUAUACGGUGUUUGUAAGAAACCUAAAUUUAUGACUUAAGAUACGUUUACAAGAAGUUUAACCGACAAUAUAAGGCCACGAUCGGAGCAGAUUUUGUAACCAAGGAGCUUCAUAUUGAAGAUAAAUCUGUUACUUUACAAGUAAAACUAUAAAAUCAUCCGUGUUUCACAAGUUAAACAUUUUUCGAUGCACAAAAAUCUUAUGGAACUCUGAUUUUUUUAUAUAUGGGAUACGGCCGAACAAGAGAGAUGAGCCGCUUUCUAUCGAGGUGCUGAUUGUUGUGUUCUUGUCUACGAUGUCAACGAUCUCAAAUCUUUUGAAACUCUCAAUACUUGGCACUCUGAGUUCCUUAAACAGGCAAGUCCUAUGGAAUCUGAAACGUUCCCUUUUGUUUUGAUUGGAAACAAAACCGAUGUAGAUGGCGGAAACAGCCGAGUUGUUGCAGAUAAGAGAGCCAUUGAAUGGUGUGGUUCAAAGGAAAACAUACCGUACUAUGAAACCUCUGCAAAGGAAGAUGUUAAUGUGGAUGAAGCCUUUUUGGGUGUUGCACACAAAACUCUUUCUAGUGACCUUAAACAAAACAUAUAUAUCCCAGUUAUUUCUGAAUAUUUUGCAGACAUUCAUGAGGAGCAGUCAAGAGGUUGUUCUUGCUGAUUCAUACAACUCUUAUCUGAUCAAUAAUAUCAACUCCAAGCCCUUAUGUGUUCAAUCUUUUUAUUUAAUUAUACGUCGGUUUACAUCAGCUACAGAGAGGUUUAUCAACGAAGACACAUGCAACGACCUGAGUGUUGUUAUUCAAGUGUAGAAGUUUUUAAAAAUUUAUGUUUAAAGUUUGUGUUAAUUACAUUCGUACAAUACAAAUCAUUUGGUACUUUCGACAUAUAUAUAUAUAUGUUCCAUUGA